rnacentral:misc_RNA from 1 species
GGAGACCAGAUGAAGAGAAUAGAUGAAGAGAUCGGAAAUGUAACAGGAGAUCAGACGUGAAGGCGGAAGAUACAAAGAUAGGAUUGGUUAAAGAUCGACAAAUUGGAUAGAUCGGGAGGUUGGAAAAUCAACGAGAGUUACUUCAGCCCAUGACCCCCGAUCUACGUAGUCAGCUUUCUCUGCCAUCGUAUUUGAGUUUGUUAAAGCAUUUCGGGUACGAUCUGAUCUCCACCAUCCACUUCAUUUCAAAAUAAGGGUUCGAACCGUCGUAUCUGAGGCAGUUAAAGCAUUUUGGUACGCCCAAAUCUACACCUUUGAUUUCACCUGUAAGGGUAGACUUUGGACCGUGGAAUCAAAGUAAAUAACAAAUUCAGCACCUUUUAUUCCCAGCCCUUGGAUCCAUUCUGUGUUAGAUUUGAGAAAAAGGGACAAAAGAGUCCCGACUUAGAUCUCAACCUUCAGUUCUUGGUCUCUUUAAUUUCUGACCCUUAGAUUCAGUCCUUCUAGAUCCACACCCUUCAAUCUCGCCAUCUGAAAUCCCAGUCGUUCAUUUGGAGACCCCUGUUCCCAUAAAUACCUGAAUGCUUCACUGUAUAAAGGGGUCUUUGGUUAGAAUUUUGAGAUACCGGGUAUUAGUCCUUCAUUUUUUAUCUUGAAAUCUCGAUCUUUGUAGUUUCUCUUGGCACUUUGAUCUUUUGUCUCAAGUUUUACU